UACGUAGGGUGCAAGCGUUGUCCGGAAUUAUUGGGCGUAAAGAGCUCGUAGGCGGUCUGUCGCGUCGGCUGUGAAAACCCGAGGCUCAACCUCGGGCCUGCAGCCGAUACGGGCAGACUAGAGUUCGGCAGGGGAGACUGGAAUUCCUGGUGUAGCGGUGAAAUGCGCAGAUAUCAGGAGGAACACCGGUGGCGAAGGCGGGUCUCUGGGCAGUAACUGACGCUGAGGAGCGAAAGCGUGGGGAGCGAACAGG
rnacentral:rRNA from 1 species